AUUGAACGCUGGCGGCAGGCCUAACACAUGCAAGUCGAACGAGUGGCGGACGGGUGAGUAAUGUAUGGGAAACUGCCUGAUGGAGGGGGAUAACUACUGGAAACGGUAGCUAAUAACGCAUACCAUCGGAUGUGCCCAGAUGGGAUUAGCUAGAAGGUGGGGUAAAGGCCCACCUAGGCGACGAUCCCUAUCUGGUCUGAGAGGACGACCAACCACACUGGAACUGAGACACGGUCCAGACUCCUACGGGAGGCAGCAGUGGGGAAUAUUGGACAAUUGGCACAAGCCUGAUGCAGCCAUGCCGCGUGUAUGAAUAAGGCCUUCGGGUUGUAAAGUACUUUCAGCGGGGAUGCGUUACCCGCAGAAGAAGCACCGGCUAACUCCGUGCCAGCAGCCGCGGUAAUAC
rnacentral:rRNA from 1 species